CGAGGAUUACGGAGUUUCAUAAUGCCGAGCCAGUUAACGUUAGCUGCCCAAGUAUCUGAGCCAACGGUGGAGUGGGAGCACAAGAAGAAAUACAAGACGAGACGAUCACCGUCUUAACUGUAUUGCAGGCUCAUCAGCUGACAUGCAGGCUGUACAGGAGUGGCAUAAGAGCGGCAGAAAAAGGAGCUGCAGGGUGUUGACAUGUCCAGAACAGGUCUACUCCAUGAACGGAAGCACAUAGCUGUGGUUGCCUCCAGACAAAGAUAUUCUCAUUGUAAGAGUUCAUCCGACACACAAAAGACACAGGAAAUGUGAAGAAUACUUCAAGACAGAGUUAAGGCGUGCCGUAGAUUCACAUAAACAACUGUCAUAAGAUGGUGCUAAUAAAUCAGAUAACACAUCUAAA